UUCCUCAUCCUCAUCCACAUGGAUUAGCAACUUAAAAAAAGUUAGAAGUCAACUUAUAUAAGGUUUAUACAAAAAAUACUAUAAUUGUUGUCAUGUACUUAAAAACGUACACAACGUACAUAUAUAUAUGGACUGUGGAGUGUGUCUUAUCCUUAUGUACAUUAUCUAGCUAGUACAAUAAUUAAAAAGAAAACGCAUAUAAACAUUAUAUCACUCUUCAUAUGAAAAAUGUCUAAAGCGACUUUUACCAAAAAAAAAUUCUAAAGCGACAUGAUUAAAGAUUCAAAAAAUACUUUAUCAAAAUAAAAUAAAAAGGUUACUCUCUAAAAUAUAUUUCAAAAUAUUAGUAUAGAUUACAACAAAAUUGCUUUAAAACCCCCAAAUCUUUUUAAAAAUGAUUUAAUACCUCAAUUUUGUACAUAUGAUGUGGAAUAUGUUAUAUGUAAUUAUGUAACACAGAUAGCAAAUACGCUGAUAUUUGUAUAACGUGGGUAACAUGAUGUAGAUAAUUUUUAUCAAAAAAAAAAAAAAAAACAUGAUAUAGAUAAAGUUUUUCAACAUGUAAUAAUAUACAUAGUUUUGAACAAGUGUCAAGAAAAUUGACUUAUACCUCCAUAUCUAUACAAUAAUAUAUCAAACUUUCCUGAGUACUUUAAGUUUAUUACAUCUGAAUACAACGCGAUAUAACACCCAAUUACAGUUCAUUUUAUAUAAUCCUAAAAAUUUGAUGGUUAUAUGAUUUUAUAUACAUGAAAUUGUAUAUAUGUCUUAUUUCUCUCUAUAUAUAUCUUUAUCUUUAACUAAGAGCUACGAUCGUGAUUUAUUUUAUUUUGCAAGGGAGAAUCUAUUCACGUAAUUUUUAUGUGUGUGCCUAGAAUUAGUUUAGACUUUGUUGAGUAUUUCAAUAUUUUCUAAACAAACAUGUUGACAAUUGAUUAAUUAGUAAUGUCGACACUUACUUUGAUUGAGAUCGAGGCUGCAAGUCUUGUCCUAUAAGAAGAUAAGACAAAAUGUACUUUGCAUCAAACUCAAAAAAACUCCACAAGAAACAAAUAGAAAGAUGACUAACUCUCAUGUCAUUUUCUCUGCCUCCAUCGCUCUCUUUCUCCUCCUCUCCAUCUCGCAUUUCCCGGGAGCUCUCUCUCAAUCUGUCAAAGUUUGCAAGUCCAAAUCCAACAACACAUGUAUAGACAAAGACAAAGCAUUAGAUCUCAAACUCAUAGCAAUCUUCUCAAUCCUCAUCACUAGUCUAAUCGGUGUUUGCCUCCCGUUCUUCGCCCGAUCAGUUCCCGCUUUCCAACCCGAGAAAUCUCACUUCCUCAUCGUAAAAUCUUUUGCCUCCGGAAUCAUCCUCUCCACUGGUUUCAUGCAUGUCUUGCCUGAUUCUUUCGACAUGCUUUCAUCUCCUUGUCUUAACAAUAACCCCUGGCACAAGUUUCCUUUCACAGGAUUUGUUGCCAUGAUCUCGGCCGUGUUCACACUAAUGGUUGACUCUAUUACCACUAGCGUCUUCACCAAGUCAGGCAGGAGAGAUCUAAGUGCUGACAUAGCAUCCGUUGAGACUCCUGACCGAGAGAUAGGGCACGUACAUGUUCAUGGCCAUGUUCAUAGCCAUGCCCUUCAUCAUAAUCUUCAAGGAGAGAAUGAUAAGGAGCUUGGUUCUGAUUUACAGCUUCUGCGGUAUCGUGUUAUUGCAAUCGUGAGUAUUCAAUUCACUCUAGUUUUUUUUUUUUUUUUUUUCAAAAUUUUAUUAAGAAAACAAAACACUUUACUUGAUUUUAGUACAAAUAAAAAGCUAACACUAUAGGUUCGUUUACAGGAAAAAUUAGUCUACGACGAUAUUUCUACAUGUUAAUGAAAAUGAUUAUUCACAUACGAAGGCUUGAUAAUGUCAUUUUUCUAAGGUUAACUGGUAACUAAAAUUUUACCUGUUGUAGGUUAAAAAGUGUAAAAUUAAGUUCUUACCCUAUUUCAUGUUAGUUAGAAGAACAACGAAGAGAGAAAAAAAGAAAGAAAAGAUAUUUCUUUAUUAAAAAGGAAAGGAACAAGUGAAAUGAAUAAUUAUUAGAUUUAUAUAUUCAUUUCAACAGUUGACAAAAAAAAAAUAUUCAUUUCAAUUUAUUCCACUAAUUAUAAUUCAUCUUAUAUUUUGAGUGACAACCAUUUACACUAUUUAUGAUUUUAUUAAUUAAGUGAGUAACUGAAAUGAAUAAAAUGGAACAGGUACUGGAGCUAGGAAUAGUGGUCCACUCGAUAGUGAUAGGACUAUCCGUAGGAGCCACUAACAAUACUUGCACCAUCAAAGGUCUCGUCGCUGCGCUUUGUUUCCACCAAAUGUUCGAAGGCAUGGGUCUCGGCGGUUGCAUCCUUCAGGUGAAUUCCUCCUUUCCAAUUUAUUAGUUCGGUCUGAGUUACUCCCAACCACUGUGGCUCUCUAAACUAAGUUCCAUAUUGUUUGAUUUCUUCAAAAACGUUGUGCUUUUGAAUGAUAUGAAAUCAUAUGAUGAGAACUUGAUAAUACAUGUAGGCGGAGUACGGGUGGGUUAAAAAGGCGGUGAUGGCUUUCUUUUUUGCGGUGACGACGCCUUUUGGAGUGGCUCUAGGGAUGGCAUUAUCUAAAACAUACAAAGAGAAUAGCCCUGAUUCGCUUAUAACAGUUGGGUUGCUCAACGCUUCCUCGGCUGGACUACUCAUCUACAUGGCUUUAGUCGACCUUCUAGCUGCCGAUUUUAUGGGUCAAAAAAUGCAGAAGAGCAUCAAGCUUCAAUUAAAGUCAUAUGCCGCCGUAUUGCUAGGUGCUGGUGGCAUGUCCGUCAUGGCCAAGUGGGCUUGAUGAUGUUUAAGUUAAGAGCGGAGCUUACAAAUAGAUAUGUAUUGACUUUUUCUCUCUUUUGCACAUCAAAUAAUGUGCACAUAUCUUGUGUAAUAGCUAAUAAAUGUAAAUAAAACUGUGUUAUCUAAAUAAUGCGAAUGCGUAGUUGAAUUUGGAUAGUGAUAAAACAAUGAUACUAAUUUAUUCCACAAUAUUACAUGUUAAAAAUUAACCAAGCAAAAUGCCAUUUUCACAAGCUCUUAGUAAAUUACGUAUGUUUAAUUUGACAUUUAUUGAAUGCAAAGUUAUAAACAGAAUCAAGACCUAAAUGAAUCCAGGAUGUUAGAAAAAAAAAAAUGAACUUCAUGUAAAUUACCAAUAUUUAAUAUAUCGCUAGAUGGUAUCUAAUCGUUCUAUAAAAAUCUAGCAUAUAUAUCCAGGAUGUUACAUAUACUAAAAUAUAAGCAGUGUAAAUCAUCAACAUACAUAUACUAAAUUUAUUUGUUCUGGUCAAAUGCCAAUGCAACUGAUAUAACAUAUCGUAGGCGUUAGAUAUAUUAGAAUCAUAUAGACGUGAACCACCAAUGUAAACGAAUAUGCUUGUAUAUAUAUUUUCGUAUGUUCUAUAUAUUUAUGUAAAUAAUGAAACUAAUAGAAAUUAUUAGACACAUAUCUCAUCUCAUCCAAGCUCUAGAAUCCGUUACUUAAAUUAUGCAUAAUAUGAUUAUGAUGUAAAGGAGAUAUGAUUUAAGUAAAAUUUUAGAUAUGAGUUAUAUAUAAACAAAAUCUAAUAUUUAAAGUAUAAUAUAUAUAUAUAAUUAUAUAUAUGUAUAUAUAUAUAUAUAUAUAUAUAUAUAUACAUAUUUGUUUGCCUUCUCAACAUUAUUAAAUCAAGUGUAGUUUUAGCAAAGUAAAUAAAAAACUUGUUUUUAGAAUAUAAUACAAGGUAAAGUGGUAAAUCACAGUUUUAAAAACUGUAGAUUUAUUAUAUAAUACUUUUCUUUGUGGAAGAUAGACUCCAUAUCGUAAGACUCAUAACUGAAAAUAAAGUCUUCUCUAUAUUAAACAAAAUGAAGUUAUAAAUGGAAAACAAAAUCUAUUCUAUAUUGAUAAAAUAUAAUAUUUAAAAUAUAAAAUAUAAUAUUUAAAGUAUAUUUUCAAAUAAAUUAAAUAUAAAAAAAUUCUUAAAUAAAUUAUUGCCCAGUAGGAUAAUAUAGCUGUGAUUUUAUUAUAGUAAUUGUAUUUUAAAAACCUGUGAAUUUAUAAUGGUAAUUGUAUUUGUGAAAAUAGACUAUGUAUCUUGGAUCAUUGAAUGAGUGUCAUAUUUAAAAAUAAAAAUCUAGAUAUAUACAAAGCUUGAAAUUUAUAGUACAUAAGAAGUGAAUUUUUUUGUUUUUUCCAUCCCAUAUAUAAAUGGACUCAAGACAAGCUAGUUCUCUCACAAACCAAACUCAUCAAGCAUCCAAAUACAACCAUUGUUUAGCUAUGACCAACCUUUACUUUAGGAUCGCUUUUCUUCUCUCCCUCUUGUUGUCCUUAUCUCGUAAGUAAAUGCGAAUUUUCAUUGGUAAUUCAUAAAUAGGUGAAAACGGUUCCAAGAUUUUGCAUAAUUUAACCAAUUAUGUUUAGCAGUUUGUGAUCAAUUAUGUCGGUUCUAAGUUAAAUUCAAGCGAUUUUUCACUUAAAUUUAUGUUUCUAAUUUUUUUUUUGUCAUCCAAAAUUAAUUAACGCUCAAAAGAGCCAUUUCUGGGGAAUGUUGUUUACAUAUGCGAUAUGAAGCGGUUCUGCACGAACUUUAUGUUUCUAUUAUAUUCAUGAAUUUUGUUUUGGAUUCUUCUAUAUAUGUCACGAAUAUUAUCAGUUGUAUACUAAUUUGACAUUUUUUGGUUUUUUUCUAAAUUGAAGAUCAAAACAUAAUAAUCGAGGCUAGAGAAGGCAAAGAAUGUAUAGGAAAAUGUUAUAGAUCCCUUACUCGUUCUCUUUCGAUGAUAGAUUCAGAAGAAAGAGCCAACAAAGAAUGCAUAGACCAUAAUGGACUUAGUAGCAAAUGUUCUCCUAAUACUUCCCCUUCUGUGAUUGAUUCAGAAGAAGAAGUAGUACUCAACGAAGAAUAUAUGGAUGGUACUAAAGAACAUAAAAGAAAAUGUCAUUGCAAAUGUCGUAAACAUAAAUCUCCAACUCAUUCACCUUCAAUGAUAGAUUCAGAAGCAGGUGUCAACAAAAACCAUAAAAAAAAAUGUCAUUGCAAAUGUCAUAAAGCUAAAACUCCUAAAUGAAUAUUAUAUUUAAAAUAGAUGUAACUCUUAAAUAUAUUUUCUUCAUAUAAUUAAUAUUAAUAAAAUGAUAUAUUCUCUAUUUUUGUUUGAUAGUGAUGGAAUCAAUUUCCAAAUGACAAUUCUUAAUCUUAUAACAUUAAAUCAUUCAAAUUUUUCGAAGUGUAUGAACGACCUCUAGAAAAGAAUGUGGGAUCCAAAAACCAAAAAAUUGGUUUAGACACAUGACAAUUGUGUGAGUGUUUCUGCACAGAUAAAUUGGAUGAUAAAUCAAGUCGGUUUUGAGGAGGAUUUCAACAAGACUCGAGCUUCACCAUGAGAGAUAACGCCCCGAUCGUCACUUAUCUUAGUGGAUCCCAUGUCCUCUCUCGGCCCAUGGGCCCUCCCGUUCUGACGGCCGGUCCGCUACGUCCGGGAGGGUUUAAAGACUUGUUUACCGAUCCUACAAAUCACCACAUUAUCAUUCCCUGUGUUUUGUCCUCACUCACACAGUUCCGACAAUCAGUUUCCGAAAGGUCACCCAUCCUGAAAUUGCUCUAGUUCAAGCACCAAUAACAUUGGAGUUCUCUAAGGACAGUUGAUCGAAAAGAUAAGUACACUUUGGUGACAUAGGUGGCCAAGUCAAUUCUUUUAAAUCUCUCCGCAUGCACCACCAUAUUUUUGAAACCACAGUGUUACAAUUCACCCCCACUAACAGACCGCAAUGUCCUCGUUGCACACCAAGACCGUCACUCCGACGGUGUGAGCCCUCUUGACUCCACACUCAUCAGAGUUCGGCUCUGAUACCAUUUAUAACGCCCCGACCGUCACUUCUCUUAGUAGGCCCCACGUCUCCUCUCUGCUCGUGGGCCCACCCGUGUAUGACUGUCGGUCUGCUACGUCCGAGAGGCUUGAAAGACUUGUUUAUCGACCCUACAAAUCACCACAUGAUCUUUACCUUUGUUUUUUCCUCACUCACACAGUUCCGACAAUCACUUCCCGAAAAAUCACCCAUCCUGAAAUUGUUCCAGUUCAAGCACCCUUAACUUUGGAGUUCUCUCAGGAAAGUUGACCGAAAAGAUAAGUGCACUUUGGUAACAUAGAUGGCCAAGUCAAUUCUUUUAAACCUCUUGGCAUGCACCACCAUAUUCCUGAAACUGGGGUAUUACAAGAGAGUUGACUAUUUGGAAUAUUUUGUUUAUGAUAUAGUUGAACCUCAUGGAAGUUGCUUACGCACCCAUGUAAAAGGAUCAAGCAUUCAAAAUUCAUACUAAAAAAGUUUUCUAGGUUUUUGUGUGAGAGAUUUCAUCCAAAGAGAUGCUUCUCUCUUUAUAUGAACAUGUAGUCAGUUUCGAGAUAUGUACAACUUCCUUAUUUAUCGAACAUAGAUAUGUAUCUUUUCCUCUUUCUUGGAUUCUUAACUUAUCUUCUUAGAAGAUAAAGGAAAAUCUUCUUAACUUAUCAUAAGACUCAUAACUGAAAAUAAAGUCUUCUCUAUAUUAGACAAAAGGAGUUAUAACUGAAAAACAAAAUCUGUUCUAUAUUGAUAAAAUCUAAUAUUUUCAAUAAAUUAAAAAUAAAACUGUUUAAAUAAAGUAAUGCCCAAAUCCCAAUAGGAUACUAUAGCUCUGAUUUUAUUAUUUUCAAAAUCUGUGAAUUUAUUAUAAUAAUUGUAUUUGUGAAAAGUAAUUGUAUUUUUGAAAAAAUAGACUUUGUAUCUUGGAUCAUUGAAUGAGUGUCAUAAUUAAAAAUAAAAAAUCUAGAUAUAUACAAAAUCUGAAAUUUAAAGUACUUUAAAAAAAAUUGUUUUUCCAUCCCAUAUAUAAAUGGACUCAAGACUAGCUAAUUCUCUCACAAUCCAUACUCAUCAAGCAUCCAAAUACAAACAUUGUUUAGCUAUGACCAACAUUUACGUUAGGACCGCUUUUCUUCUCUCCCUCUUGUUGUCCUUCUCUCGUAAGUAAAUGUGAAUUUUCAUUGGUAAUUCAUAAAUUGGUGAAAACGGUUCCAAGAUUUUGCAUAAUUUAACCAAUUAUGCAAAUUGUGGAAUUGUAAUUUAUAUUUAGCCGUUUGUGAUCGAUUUUGUCGUUUCUAAGUUAAAUUCAAAUGAUUUUUUGCAUCAUCUAUGUUUCCAUUAUAUUCAUGAACUUAAAUGCUUUGGGAUUAUUCUAUGUUACGAUGUUACCAACCUUAUACAAAUUUGACAUUUUUCUUUUUUUCUUUAAAUAAAUUGAAGAUCAAAGCAUAAUAAUCGAGGCCAGGGGAGGCAAAGGAUGUAUAGGCAUAUGUUAUAGAUCUCCUACUCCUUCUCCUUCGAUGAUAGAUUCAGAAGAAGGAACCAACAAAGAAUGCAUGGACCAUAAAGGAGUUGGCAGCAAAUGUUCUCCUAAUCCUUCCCCUUCAAUGAUAGAUUCAGAAGAAGAAGUCAACCAAGAAUAUUGGAACAUUGAAGAACAUGAAAGCAAAUGUCAUUGCAAGUGUCCUAAACAUAAACCUCCUACUCCUUCACCUUCAAUGAUAGAUUUAGAUGAAGAAGUCAACCAAGAAUAUAUGGACAUUGAAGAACAUAACAACAAAUGUCAUUGCAAGUGUCAUAAACAUAAACCUCCUACUCCUUCACCUUCAAUGAUAGAUUCAGAAGAAGAAGUCAACCAAGAAUAUUGGGACGUCGAAGAACAUAAAAGCAAGUGUCAUUGCAAGUGUCCUAAACAUAAACCUCCUACUCCUUCACCUUCAAUGACAGAUUCAGAAGAAGCUAAAGCUCCUACCCCCAUUGAAAAACGUAAAAGAAAAUGUCAUUGCAAAUGUCAUAAAGCCAAAGCUCCUACUCCCAUAAAUGAAUACUAUAUUUAAAAUAGAUGUAAAAAUAUAUUUCUUCAUUAAUUAAUAUCAAU
rnacentral:lncRNA from 1 species